CGGAGGGUGCAAGCGUUAUCCGGAUUUACUGGGUUUAAAGGGUGCGCAGGCGGAUAUGUAAGUCAGUGGUGAAAUCUUCCCGCUUAACGGGAAAACUGCCGUUGAUACUAUAUAUCUUGAAUGCCGUGGAGGUAAGCGGAAUAUGUCAUGUAGCGGUGAAAUGCUUAGAUAUGACAUAGAACACCUAUUGCGAAGGCAGCUUACUACACGGAGAUUGACGCUCAUGCACGAAAGCGUGGGGAUCAAACAGGAUUAGAUACCCUGGUAGUCCACGCCCUAAACGAUGAUUACUCGACAUACGCGAUAUACAGUGUGUGUCUGAGCGAAAGCAUUAAGUAAUCCACCUGGGAAGUACGAUCGCAAGAUUG
rnacentral:rRNA from 1 species